ensembl:snoRNA
AAGCAACAGUCUGUGACAGAUGAUCGAACUUGUCUGACACAAUAUGAGCAAGGUCUAAACUAUUUCAGUGUUUUCUCCUCCGUGAGAACAGCUGUUAUAUAGACUUAAACAGU